GUCACAAGCUUUCUGAUUUAAGGUAAUUCCAUCGUGCUUUCUUUCUUUUUUUUUUUCCCCGCCCUAAAAGGAAAACAGAGUCGCCGGACCGGAAGGAGUCUGCCGAUUCCGAUUGCUCUGCCGAAACUUCAAUAAGCUCUCGCUAAAUACUCUAUUUUCUAAGCGAUGCGUUUCUGCAUUUCCCUUCAAUAUCUUCGGAACUACAUAUCAGACUGGCAUGUAUGAUUUGGAUUCAAGCAGAUAAGAAGUUACUCGGUUUUUCCAUGCUAUCAUGGUGUUUCGGCAGCUCAAUCUGCUCGAAGUGCAAAAUCAAAUUUCACUCAUGAACUCAGUCAAGUUGCAUACAAGCAACGUAAACACAACCAUUAUAUAUGAAUAACCCUGUUAUCAUGAUGCUGCGUAUGUGGAUGAUAUUUUGUCCGAAGGUGCUCCAGAAGUUGCAAAAAUGUUGUGGAUGCUACCCAAUAAUUUCUAUGCUACUGGAUUCUAGUGGGAAGAACAGAAUAAAUGCUUCAGGAAUAAUAAGGAAUGAUCAAUAUGAUAACAUAACCAAAGUCUACUUUUGGAUGUUCUAUCAUCCCCCACAAGUUUUGGACUCUACCAGUGAGCAUAUACUUGAUUGAGAAAGAAAACAAAUUAUUUUUGCUUCCAUCUCUCCUCUUAUGGUACAGUAAAUUUUAUGUGGUCCGUUCUUAGCAUGGGAUUUUAUCGCCCUUAUCUAUUGAUUUUGGUAUAUUUUUCAGAUCAGGGCUUUUUUUAGUUCAGUAUUCACACUUGAACAAAAUUUUCUUUAGCACAUUAUAUGAUGUGUGGUAUUGGUGAAAAUAAUUUGCAUUUAACAUGCUUAGAGUGGUUUGUUCUAGUGUGAACCCAUAUUACAUUAGGGGCACAGCUGCAGAAGCUUUAUGAUUAAUUAUUGGCCUAUGAGAAAACUUGGUCCCUUCCAUCACUUUGCAGCUAUAAUACAAAUGUGAAUAAUGUAUGUGAUUAGGCAGGGGACAAUUACAAGGUGGGUUUGUGUAUAUUUAUCUUUUGUAUUUGUGUGUGUGGGUGGGUGGGGAGGGGGGGAACUGAAAAAGUAGCACCUUCUUUUCUUCAAAUAUAAUUUGAGGUUUCAGAUAGAAUCUUCUCCCCUAUUUUCUUCUCUUUUUAUUCUACUCCUGUCACAACAUGUAUUUAUUUAUAAAUAAGCACUGCACUACGUGUCGGGUUUAUCAUAUCCAUGCUGGGAUUCUUAUCAAUUUUGGGAGACUGAUAAUGAAGAAUAUCAAUCCCUUCGGUGAAGAAAGGAGGGGAACACAUAAAUUCAUAUUCUCAAUCUCAUUCGAUGCACCCACAACUUUUGCAAAGGAGGAGGGGAUGUGACCACAGAUUUACAAAAAUCGCUAACAGAGAACACAAGAUGUCAACGGGGCAGCAAAAAUCGACCGAGGGAGGCAUGGAGGGGACCAUGAUCUGCCAGCCUGAGGUAAUAUUCUCUUUCAAUCAUUUGCCCUCCACGUAGCUUCUUCAUUCAUUAUCUUCUGUUGUCUUUGCCUGCAAGUUUUGUUAACCAGAAUUAUCAAGAAUCUAUGAAUUAUUGUAACAAUCAGUCUUUGGGAAAAGGGCAUUUGUUGUACAUAUUUGAUGAAUUGACUAUUUAUAUAGGAGCAUUUUUCCAAGUUUUUAGUGGGGCUCUAAAUCAUGUUUUAUGUUUAAUGGAUGGUGUCGUUUCAACUUGGGCUCCAACUCGGUUGAAGUUGAUCUUAAUAUCUGCUUUUUCUUGAUCUUCUGCACUAAAUGGCAUAUUUGUCUUGUUCAGCCGAAAAGUUCUCAUAUACCUGCCAGAAUGAGACGCCAAUUUAUGUUAAUGUUUUAAUUUAACAUGCUUUUUCUAUUCAAGAUUGUGGUGGGGCAGCCCCAUGAAUAGUUACUGUCCUGAGGUUCCAGGAAAUUUUUAUUCACCGGAUCACUUAAAUUGCUUAUUUUCACAUUGGUUCGCCACUCAUUAUUGACUUUUACACUAAGCACUGCAUCUAUUAGUCCCAGAAAGGUGUCUAUGAACGAGUGAGUGAAUAAGCUCUCAUGCUGUGGCUGCCCAAAAUUGUAAACAUAAAUUUUGGUGCAUUAGAUGCUUCUUUUUUAUUUUGACUAACCAAGUGAUGUUUAAUCAUGACAAGAUUCCUCGGCUCCUAUUCCCACACAGAAUUUGGACCAUUAGCUCAUUCAGUGUUGUUACGAAUAUAAUAACAGAUCAACAGGAUGCUUUUAACUCUCUCCCUUUCUUUUGAAUGCAGAUCCAUAGAUCUAUAUGAAAAUAGAGAUGAUUCCUUCGUUUUGGAUCUUUCUGUUUUUGGUGAAUUAACGAUGUUCAGGGCCAUUCCUUUAACAUAGGAUAACUAUGAGUUUCUCAGGAAAAAAAUCUGCUGAAGUUGUGUAACAUUCACCCUAAAAGCACCUUCUUCCUAGUACUUAUCAUUUAGAAUCUUUACUCACUUGGUUUCGUAUUUCUUAUUAGCAUGGAAUUUGCUUGACACGUAAGUUGCAACCCUUUAUUUCUUUUCCUUCUUUUAUCCAUAGAGUUGGAUUGUUCCUAUAUAUGUUCUUUUCAAUAAAUUUAUUGAAUCAUCACUUUUUUGGUUUCAUUAUGUUUUAAAGAGAAUGAGAGCAUAAAUUGACAGCAUAUGGCAUUUAAAUUGCAAUCUCAAAGAUGGAUAAACUCUUCUGCAUCCUUCUACCAUACACUUCUUCCACAUGCUAGCCUAUAAAUACCUUUUGAUUGACAUAUUGUUGUAUCAUUUAAAGAAGGCAAGAUACUUACAAUCUAGUUCUCAUCUCAUCUAUCAUUUAUUUUCAUCAAACCUGCUACUUUUUUUUGGUGAGAGAUGGACUCAAGCCUUUUGCAACGUCAAGUUGCCUACACGAAGAGGUGCUUUUUUGAGCAGGUUUAUUUUCAAAAUACAGGAAAUUCUUUCACUUUUCUUCCGUCUUUGACAUGGUGCAGUUGGUACUUGUAACUCAUACUUUUCAUUAAGCAUGUUUGAGAAUCCAUGGUUCAUAGUUUCCAGUACAGUGCAGAAUAUAUAACUACCAAACUUUGUGUCUAAUUUGGAAGGGCAGGUUUAGCCUUAUGGUGCAUAAGCCAAAUAGGAACUGGUUUCCUUCGGAUAGGAGCCAAACUGAGCCAUUGGUCCAAGAACGUAUUCAUAUCCUUUAUUUUGGGACGGACUAGAUAUGGUUCUGAGUUCUGGAUUGCUGCAUAGUUUUUACGGUGGGAUGGGCUAACAUGAAGUCAAAGGUCUCAGCUGGUCCUUGUUCAACUGGCUCACAGUUGUACUGGAUGAAUACACUUGUGCUCUACGUUUUGGACCAGCAAAAAUUAUCGGCAGACCAGGAAUAAGACAAACUAAAUUUAUAAAAUGCUAGCCAGUUGUUAUGAUUCUCGUGAAUCUUAGCAUUCACAUCCAUAAGGAUAUUCCUUCAGUUUUGAAUCGUCUCUCUUUUUGAAAUUUGUGGAUCUUUAUUUACUAAUUUUUACUUCAAAUGAUUGACAAAUAUCCUACUAUUAGGACAUAAAUGGUUGAACCAGACAGAAUCCUUUGUUUCAGGGUUAUCUUGAUCGUGAUCAAUUCACUCAGCUUGAAGAAUUGCAAGAUGAUGCUAACCCAAAUUUUGCCGAAGAAAUUGUGUCAUUGUUUUAUAAUGAUUCUGCUAGACUCAUCCGGAGCAUAGAACAAAUUAUGGUCAGUAAGCCUACGGAUUUUGAAAAGCUUGACAACUACGUGCACCAGUUCAAGGGUAGUAGCUCAAGUCACUAGAACGAGCUCAUCGUAACACUCGGAGCAAUGGCACUUUAUAUGGUUGUUAUGGAACAUUGGUUCAAUGACGACACCACUUCAACCUCAUGUGAAAAGCUGAAUCCACGAUGUGUCAUUAUUGGAGCCAAUAGGGUGACUGAUGCAUGUUCAAAGUUCAGAGAAUACUGCUUGGCAGAAAAACUUGAAGGAUGCAUCAGGAGUUUCCAGC